rnacentral:rRNA from 1 species
AUGGCUCAGGACGAACGCUGGCGGCGUGCUUCAUACAUGCAAGUCGAACGAGAAGCUGACUUCGGUCAGUGGAAAGUGGCGGACGGGUGAGUAAUAUGUAGGAAAUCUGCCCUAGAGAGGGGGACAACAGAGGGAAACUUCUGCUAAUACCCCAUAUGAGCUUAGUUGAAAUACUAAUCUUGAAAACUCCGGUGCUCUAGGAUGAGCCUGCAUCUGAUUAGCUAGUUGGCGGUGUAAUGGACCACCAAGGCGACGAUCAGUAGCUGGUUUGAGAGGAUGAUCAGCCACAAUGGGACUGAGACACGGCCCAUACUCCUACGGGAGGCAGCAGUAGGGAAUUUUGCGCAAUGGGCGAAAGCCCUGACGCAGCAACGCCGCGUGAACGAUUAAGCCCUUCGGGGUGUAAAGUUCUGUCAGUGGGGACGAAACUUGACGGUACCCACAGAGGAAGCACCGGCUAACUCCGUGCCAGCCGCCGC